rnacentral:rRNA from 1 species
AAAAGGUGGCUAUGCUACCGCUUUUGCAUGGGCCCGCGGCGCAUUAGCUAGUUGGUGGGGUAAAGGCUUACCAAGGCAAUGAUGCGUAGCCGAACUGAGAGGUUGAUCGGCCACAUUGGGACUGAGACACGGCCCAAACUCCUACGGGAGGCAGCAGUAGGGAAUCUUCCACAAUGGGCGAAAGCCUGAUGGAGCAACGCCGCGUGGGUGAAGAAGGUCUUCGGAUCGUAAAACCCUGUUGUUAGAGAAGAAAGUGCGUGAGAGUAACUGUUCACGUUUCGACGGUAUCUAACCAGAAAGCCACGGCUAACUACGUGCCAGCAGCCGCGGUAAUACGUAGGUGGCAAGCGUUAUCCGGAUUUAUUGGGCGUAAAGGGAACGCAGGCGGUCUUUUAAGUUUGAUGUGAAAGCCUUCGGCUUAACCGGAGUAGUGCAUUGGAAACUGGGAGACUUGAGUGCAGAAGAGGAGAGUGGAACUCCAUGUGUAGCGGUGAAAUGCGUAGAUAUAUGGAAGAACACCAGUGGCGAAAGCGGCUCUCUGGUCUGUAACUGACGCUGAGGUUUGAAAGCGUGGGUAGCAAACAGGAUUAGAUACCCUGGUAGUCCACGCCGUAAACGAUGAAUGCUAAGUGUUGGAGGGUUUCCGCCCUUCA